rnacentral:rRNA from 1 species
AAUAUUGGACAAUGGGGGAAACCCUGAUCCAGCCAUGCCGCGUGUGUGAAGAAGGCCUUCGGAUUGUAAAGCACUUUAAGUUGGGAGGAAGUGUUGUUGGCUAAUAUCCAGCAAUUUUUUCGUUACCGACUGAAUAAGCACCGGCUAACUCUGUGCUAGCAGCCGCGGUAAUACAGAGGGUGCAAGCGUUAUUCGGAAUUACUGGGCGUAAAGCGUGCGUAGGUGGUUCAGUAAGAUGGGUGUGAAAUCCGCGGGCUUAACCGGGGAACUGCUUUCAUAACUGCUGAGCUAGAGUACGGUAGAGGGUAGUGGAAUUUCCUGUGUAGCGGUGAAAUGCGUAGAUAUAGGAAGGAACACCAGUGGCGAAGGCGACUACCUGGACUGAUACUGACACUGAGGUGCGAAAGCGUGGGGAGCAAAC